rnacentral:misc_RNA from 1 species
AAGUCGUAACAAGGUUUCCGUAGGUGAACCUGCGGAAGGAUCAUUAUUGAGACAUGAAUCGUAGCAUUGAGAACUGUUGCUGACCUGUUAAAGGGUAUGUGCACGUUGUGAGUGUUGCGUUUUAUUCUUUUUUCCCUGUGCACGUUUGUAGACUUGGUUGUUGAGUGGUUAGAAGGGUUGCUGGAAAGCUCUCUUUGCUUAGGAUUGAAGGGUUGCUGCAAAGCUCCCUUUGCCUAGGAUUUCACUUGUGCAAAGCUCGCGCUUUGUGUACCAGGUCUAUGUCUAUAAUCUCUUGUAUGUAUAGAAUGUCUUGUUUAUAGGACGCAAGUCCUUUAAAUGUUAUACAACUUUCAACAACGGAUCUCUUGGCUCUC